rnacentral:rRNA from 1 species
AUGGCUCAGAUUGAACGCUGGCGGCGUGCUUAACACAUGCAAGUCGAACGCGAAAGGGGACUUCGGUCCUGAGUAAAGUGGCGCACGGGUGAGUAACGCGUGGAUAAUCUGCCCUUAUGAUCGGGAUAACAGUUGGAAACGGCUGCUAAUACCGGAUACGCUCAAAAUGAACUUUUUGAGGAAAGAUGGCCUCUGCUUGCAUGCUAUCACGUAAGGAUGAGUCCGCGUCCCAUUAGCUUGUUGGCGGGGUAACGGCCCACCAAGGCAACGAUGGGUAGCCGAUUCGAGAGGAUGAUCGGCCACACUGGAACUGAAACACGGUCCAGACUCCUACGGGAGGCAGCAGUGGGGAAUAUUGCGCAAUGGGCGAAAGCCUGACGCAGCGACGCCGCGUGGAGGGGAAUGAAGGUUUUCGGAUCGUAAACCUCUGUCAGAAGGGAAGAAACUACGUUGUGCUAAUCAGCAGCGUACUGACGGUACCUUCAAAGGAAGCACCGGCUAACUCCGUGCCAGCCGCCGC